GGAAGAUGGCAGACCAAACCAAGUACUUCCAUUCCCACUCCAUCUCUUAAAAGUUUUUACUUUUGAGGUUUUGCAAUUUCCAGACAUCUUGAUACAAUUGUUGUGAGCAGACUGGGGCCAUAUUCUCACAGUAAUGAAGAAACGGAUAUUCUAUGCAAGAAAAAAAGUUACCAUUCAAUAUUGGUGUACUACAUUUGCAGAGAUUGUGAGGUCACACUGCAUUCGAGGUCCCAGUCGAAGGCAUGGAGCAGUGAUGGCAGAAUGAAAUGACACAAAUCCUCCGGCCUGCACCAAAUGAGACUGUGAGGUCACAUUGCAUUCGAGCUCCCAGUCGAAGGCAUGGAGCAGCGAUCCCAGAAUGAAAUGCAUCAUC